UACGUAGGGUGCGAGCGUUGUCCGGAUUUAUUGGGCGUAAAGGGCUCGUAGGCGGCGUGUCGCGUCGGGAGUGAAAGCCCGUUGCUUAACGGCGGGUUGGCUUUCGGUACGGGCAUGCUGGAGUGCGGCAGGGGAGACUGGAAUUCCUGGUGUAGCGGUGGAAUGCGCAGAUAUCAGGAGGAACACCAAUGGCGAAGGCAGAUCUCUGGGCCGUAACUGACGCUGAGGAGCGAAAGCAUGGGGAGCGAACAGG
rnacentral:rRNA from 1 species